AUACGGAGGGUGCAAGCGUUGUUCGGAUUUACUGGGCGUAAAGAGAGUGUAGGUUGUUUAUUAAGUCGGAUGUGAAAUCCCGGGGCUCAACCUCGGAACUGCAUUCGAUACUGGUAGACUAGAGUUCGGGAGGGGUAAGCGGAAUUCCGCGUGUAGCAGUGAAAUGCGUAGAUAUGCGGAGGAACACCUGAGGCGAAGGCGGCUUACUGGACCGAUACUGACACUGAGACUCGAAAGCGUGGGUAGCAAACAGGAUUAGAUACCCUAGUAGUCC
rnacentral:rRNA from 1 species